ensembl:lncRNA
UGAAACUGCAAUUAGAGGGCAGUGCCCAUCUGCUUUCAGCAGGCACGUGGCUCUUAGCAGAUCCCUGGGAGGCUGCAGGGGCCGCCCAUCACCUUCACGUGUGUUCCUUAACAACGUGCGCACAGUCUCUCAAGGGGGAGCUCCAGAUGGUGAAGGAAACUCUCCAGGCCAUGGCCCUGCAGCUCCAGCCAGCAAAGGAGGCGGGGGAGAGGGAGGCUGCAGCUUCCUGUGUGACAGCUGGCGUCCGGGAAGCACAGUCCUGAGGCCUGACAGGACGGAGGGAGUAGUGACGCUCCCGUCUUCAUUCGGAUCCAUGGACAGUAGACAAUCUUUGUCAUUUCCUGAAGUCUCACUGCCAUUCCCAAAGGCAGCUGGUGCUUUGCUCAGCCUUCCGUGCUGUGCAGUGCUUCCGUCAGGAGAUGGCCCUGUUUAAGCCAGCAGGUGGCCACAGCCCAGGGAACCAGCAAAAGCACAACACAUGAAUUUUCUGAUUGUAUUUUCUACAAUUUUCUGGUGAGCACUUAAAAAAUAUAUACUAUGCAUAUUUUAGUAAUAAUAUAAUUAGUUUGUUCUAGGAAUGCGUUUCAAUGUUUUUCAGUGAUGGAGCAAAUUCCUGAAUUAUUUAUCAUGUCUAAGCAAUAUUAUGUACUAGUCCCAUGGCACAUGGAAUUCCUCAAUCCUUGAAUUAAUUUCAGUGAAGCGAAACUUGUAGAGUCAGAACUGUCUCUAACAAAUCCCUACGCUGAGAAGUGUCAUCUUAAGAAA